rnacentral:tRNA from 1 species
ACUAUUUUGGCAGAAAUAAUUGUGAUGGUUUUAGAAGUCAUACAUAUAUAUAUUUAUAUUAUAUAUAAAUAGUA